rnacentral:snRNA from 1 species
ACUCCUCCAAAAAUUGGUGUAU